rnacentral:rRNA from 1 species
AUUGAACGCUGGCGGCAUGCCUUACACAUGCAAGUCGAACGGCAGCGGGGGAGAAGCUUGCUUUUCCUGCCGGCGAGUGGCGAACGGGUGAGUAAUACAUCGGAACGUGCCCUGUAGUGGGGGAUAACUAGUCGAAAGAUUAGCUAAUACCGCAUACGACCUGAGGGUGAAAGUGGGGGACCGCAAGGCCUCAUGCUAUAGGAGCGGCCGAUGUCUGAUUAGCUAGUUGGUGGGGUAAAGGCCUACCAAGGCGACGAUCAGUAGCUGGUCUGAGAGGACGAUCAGCCACACUGGGACUGAGACACGGCCCAGACUCCUACGGGAGGCAGCAGUGGGGAAUUUUGGACAAUGGGGGCAACCCUGAUCCAGCCAUGCCGCGUGAGUGAAGAAGGCCUUCGGGUUGUAAAGCUCUUUCAGACGGGAAGAAAAGGUUUCGGAUAAUACCUGGAGCUGAUGACGGUACCGUAAGAAGAAGCACCGGCUAACUACGUGCCAGCAGCCGCGGUAA